rnacentral:rRNA from 1 species
UACGGAGGGUGCAAGCGUUGCUCGGAAUUACUGGGCGUAAAGGGCGUGUAGGCGGUUUCGUAUGUCUGGCGUGAAAGCCCCGGGCCUCACCUCGGGAAGUGCGUCGGAAACUGCGAGACUAGAGUCCCGGAGAGGGAGGUGGAAGUUCCAGGUGAGCGGUGAAAUGCGUAGAUAUCUGGAAGAACACCGGUGGCGAAAGCGGCCUCCUGGACGGU